UACAUUCUUUGAGCCUGGUGGAGCACGUUUGCUGAGGUGAUGUGGUCUCCUCAGUGUCACUGUGAAGAGCUCAGUCAGGAAAAGCCAGCAGCAUCUACCCUGCCACCCUCCAAACCUUCUGACUUUGGGGAGACUCCAGUCCCCCAGGUCUUUACCCAGCCUGCAGAUCUCAUUCUAGCUUAACAAGGGCAUGCGUGUGCAUGAAGUUGAACUAAGAGUGGAGGAAGGCCAGAGGUAGGGUUGGGUGUGAUACUAGGUAGCAGAUAUUACAGACUUCUGAAUGCAUUCAGAUUUCCAAAGGGUUUCCUGAGACCUCUCAACCAAUCUUUCUAGGACAAUAGCUAGUGUAGGGGUCUCCUGACUCAAUAGGGGACCCAGGCCUUCAGAUACCAGCCACUCACUGGCUGCUCUGUGACGUGCUAUCUUAAGACCGUGAAUGGAAGACAAGCCCUAUGUAAACACAAAUCUUAAAGCCACUGUUGGCUACUCGAGGGCCUCCUUGUGCUAAUAUCUUUUGUUGGAUAUUAUUUCAAAAUAUGUGAAUUUUAGACCCUUUUGUGGUUGCCUUUGCUGCCGCUUGUUAAGGGCAAAAUAAAAACGCAAGAAAUUCUUUUAGCAUGAAGAAAUACAUUUAAUGAGCUCCAGAACUCAAAAUAAAUGGCUUCAGCUCCUUGAACAGUCAUCUGUAUGCCAUUGACAAUAUUUUAUUAGAUAGGCGUUUAAUUAGAGGAAGUCUGUGGGCCAGAUUCUUCCCUGCAUGUGUGAUUCAUAUUUGGAAAUUUCUGAUUUAUCUCCCCCCAAUUGUGCCAUGUGGCCUGCACUUAAAAUGUAAGUAAUUCUGAUUUUAUUCUCAAGAACUUAUUUGAAGAUUCAAGCCAAGCAAUGCUGAAAAAAGCUAGGCCUGCAAAACUAAAACAUAGCACGAGCCUCUCAAAAUUUCCACCAAAUAUACAAAAUCCAGUCUGCUCUGAAUGUGCAUCAGAAACUCAACUUUGGUUAUUAGCCCUGGAAUUUGGUGCCAAAAACAAAAAUUUGGUUUUGUUGUCAAGCAAUUUCUAAAGGAAGAAACAAUGUAAAUAUUAAUCUGUCAUUUUAAAUGUUGUUGAAACUGCCAUGAGUGUGCACACAGCUCUCUGUUUCAUACCUGUAAUCAGUAUUCGCAUGCUUUCAGUCCACUGUUUCUACUUAAAGCAUUAUUCCGUAUUUCAGCACAGAAUGACUUUGGUGAAACUGUAGCUGUUAGUGAGUAAUUGCGUUACAGGCAGACCCAGUCUUAAAUUAACAAAUCUGGGUUCCCUUAACUAUCAGGUUUAUGUUGGUUUUAUUUGCUUCUAUCUGGAUCCCUUCUCUUUGCCUGGGACCUUAUUCUGAUUAGCUAGAUUUUUAAGAGCUUUUAAAGUUACAUUCCCCAGAAAGACUUUUUUUCUCUGGACUUUCUCUUUUAUGGUCUGUAAACAUUUCUCCUCUGAUGGUCAUGGACUUAGUUCUAAGACUGGCCUUCCUCUAGUGUGAUGGUAUGAGUCUAUUCUAUUGCUGCUAAAUUUUACAAAUUGAACUGCAGAAGAGUCUUUCUAGGUAAUCCCUGUAACAGAGCAAGUUUCUUUGAACCCUAGCCAUGUAUGUGUAGUGUUCCAUUAUUGGAACGCUAAGCAUGUGGGAGUUAUUUAUAUCUUACUGCUCACGGUCAUCAUCAAGGUCUGAUUACAAAAAUUCAAAAAAUUACAACCUCAGGCAUAAAUUUAAAGAGGUGGCCAUUUAAAAAUAAUCCGUUGCUACCAUUUCCACUUAAAAUGGUAGCUCUCUGAUGAGUUUUAUAUUGGCUCUCUGUUAGCCAAGCCCGUAAGAGCAUAUGGAGAGAAAGGUACGAUUGAAUGAACUUCUGUGAGCGGCAUAAAGACAUUUACUCUGACAACAUUAAAGAAUUUACUGGUACUGUUUUUUUUCCUUGUUAGUUUAAUUCCAUCUGUUUCUGUUUAAUUGAGUGAAACUUAAUAAAAAUGGUGUCUCUAGUGAGCACAUGUACACACCUCUCCCAGUUGUUGGGAUUUAAAAUGAAGCUGUGACUUUUAGGCCAAAAUUAGCGUGACACUUAAUAUAACAGUUUUCUUUCUAUUAAAAAAUAAUGACAAAACACACACACACACACACACACAAUCUGUAUGAUGAUUUGGCCUGGAGUUGUAGACAUCACAGAUCAAAAGUGGCCUGGUGCUAGCUGUUUGGGUAUAUCCUUGAAAAGGGCAACUUUGUCAUUUCCUAGAGUAACCUAGAGAGAGAUUUCCAAGCAUUUCCCCAUGAACAGAAGUGGUAAAUGCUGAUUUAUUGUGCCAUAUGUGUGUUUGGGAGGAGGGGAGAUAGCGUCUUGUUUUGAAAAAAGUUCUCACUUCAUAAAAUAAACUGCACACCACUCCAAAAAAAAAAAAAAAGAUGAAACCUCAAGCAGGAGGAACUUUUUUAUUUAACCCCUAGUGAAAGCAAUUAAACGUCUUGGUAGAUGCUAGGGAAGAAUUAGAAAAUCUUCUUUUCCUGAAAGCUUUAAACAUUGAAUAGACUCUGAUUUAUUCAGGAUCAUUUCGGUGUAGAUUGGCCACUCGACACAGACAUCACAGCAUGGUAGCCUCGAAACCAAGCCUUCAGCAUCUUCUCGGCGCCCGGUGUUGGAGUGUUACUUGGAGUGGAGGCAGUGCAUUUGCAUCUUCAUGUAGUCUCCAGAUCAGGUUACUCUGAUUUGUCUUGGAGUGGCUUUCUGUUUGAAAGUAGGGAAGAUUAAAAAUCAACUUGCCACGGGAUAUCUGAUCUCCAUGAGUAGUUGAAAGCCAGUCUAAAAGGUUAACUCUACAGGGCCGGCGCCGCCAGUGCGGUCAUGGAAAAUCGUGCUGUGAGAUACUGGAGUGUGCUGCUGGGGCCAGGUGCAGCAAUUGCAGAAUGUUGAGGAGUGAGGAGUAGUUAGAAAUCACUGCAACAUGGAAAAGCACACAGACCAAGGACGCUAAGGAGGGAGCGAGGACUACCGGGCAGGUGUGCGUGUGUGGAGUAAAAUGCAUCGGACAGUGAUUGACUCCACUUUUGAGUGAGAUGUGGAGGCGGUAGUGGUGUGGGGGUUGUGAGGGAGUGAGUCUGCUUUAUUAUGAAUCAGGAUUGAUAGCUGGCCUUAAAGUGGGAAAUGAUAGAAGGGUCACUUAGGAGCCUGCAGUGGCAUGGUGACCAGUCUGUUAUUACUCAUAGAUGACCUUUUCUGGCUCUUGAAACCAAGCUAACGACUCCUUUUUCUUCUGGGCCUCAAAGUUUCUUUGUAGGAAGUAAAGCAUUUGUCACUUUCCCUGCAGUGAUUUAUUGAAAGACUGAAGAUAGGUCUUCCUUAGUUAAGGACGCACACUGGCUGCUCGCUCCAGAAGCACCAAGAAUGGCUGAUGGAUAAAUCCCUUACCCAUACUCCUGUUUCUGCCUCCUAAGGUUGCUGUGAAAACCUAACUAACCAAACCUCACCAGCUUGGCCUAUAUUAUUAAUCAAAUUCCCUUCUGUUCUCUCUGUGUGUAUAUUUAAUACUGUAGAUAAUAUGUUUUAUUUAAAAUUUCUAAUACACCAAAUUAAUUUGAAAUAGAAAAGGCUGGGGACUUCAUUCUCAUUUUUGUCAUUUGUUUAAUCAGUUUGGGAAAACAUUUUCCGUUGUUCCAUUGUAUGCAGUGUCUUGUCAGCAUGUACCUAUCUAGGAGAAAACGCUUUGUUUUCAGCGUUCUGUCUUUACCCUCAAAGCAUGGUGUAGCUUCUGUUCUUACACUGUUGGAGCACUGUCUGAUGUCUUUUUUUUUUUUUUUAACACUGCUGAAUACCAAUUUGUACUUGGAAUACCUCUUUCCUCUAGAAUACAGUGAUCCUAUUCCCCAAAGUGCAAGCUUUCAUGUGGAAGCAUCCUAAGUGAUCGUCCUGGGUGAUGCCAUAUUUCACUAAAGUGGGAAAAGAAGAGGUGAACUUUGCUCUUCCAACAAGGCUUGCACUUUAUACUUUGGGCAGUGCAUGGGAGAAGGGGGGCCCUUAGAGGUGAGCAGGAUCACUGUAGCUAGAGGAGAGGUCUCACUGAAACAGAACGCAUCUGUGACUGUAGCUUGCAUGGAGAGCCUAGACAGCCAACCAUGGAUUUGCCUUUAUGUUUUGAAUGGAAACAUCUAUUUCAAUUGGGAUAGAAACCUUUACCUAUGUCAUAUCUGUAAGAGAAUUUAGCUUAUAGAUAUGUAGAUACGUGUGUGUGUUGCUGGGUGGGGAAGUGGGUGGGAAUGUAGAAAAGGCCUCACCUGACUUGGUCCCAGUUGGCUUCUGAUGGCCAAGGAGCUGUUUUUCAUUUUGGUGGGCACCCAACAUGUAGGUUCUCACAGAUGCUGUCUGGUUUCUUCUUCUCUCCAUGGCGGAACAAUGAAGUACGUCAAUAAAGCAUGGACUCAUACCACUGGGAAGAAUGCUGGCUUCUCCAGUAACAAUGAGCUUGGUGGUUCUUUGAGCAUGGAAGGCCAAGCUCAUGUCACAGUGUAUGCACGGUAUUAAUAUAUCUCUUGUUGAUCUAAACUGAAGGGGCUUUUACUUGUCCUAACAGGUAUCAUGCUGUAAAAACUGUCCAUUGUAACUGUUCUUUCCCACUGAUGGCUGAAGCUUUGUCCUGAGUACAAGAUGGUAUUUUUCAUUGGUACGAAGCACCAUGUUCCCAACCCAAACACUGCCUCCACCACCACCACCACCACCAUCACCACCACCACUGCUACUACCAACAUCACCACCACCAUCACCACCACCGUGUUCAAACAAAGCAGCAUUCUCCUGUGUCUUUUCCUCAUAAGUAAGAACAAGGUAGCACAUUCAUUUUUCCAUUAGUGCAUUUCAAUUCUUUUCCUGCAAGUUGCAUUGCUAUUGCUUUUCUGAAUUGCUUGAUGAUGAACUGUGAAGCUGAUGCUUAGCUGCUUGUGAAACUUUUCUUAAAGGAACUGGGUCUAAGAAGCACACAUACAUUACCCUCAACAACCUCAGGUAUCAAGAAGAGGACCACACUGCUAACAUGGGUAAUCCUAUAACCUGGCUUUUCUUGUGGAACUUUGUAAUUUCUAUAAAAUACCGCCAGCUUUGCGUAUUCCACUGAGCCCCAACUUAGAUAUCAGACGCUAGUGAGUCCUGCCUAUUCAGGAAGCUACGUAUUAUUCAGCAUAAUACUGCCCUUUUUUUUGAUAACUGGCUUUCAAAUGGGAUAAUCUCAAGAGAGGUUUCAUUGUAUCCUCUUAGAGCGUAUGGAUUUAAAUAGAGCCUUUCAAAAAAAUAGAUGAAAACCUACAUCUCUAAUAUAUUUCCUACUUGGGCCUUUUGAGCAUAUUCUGGGCACAUAGAGAGAAAAUCUCCUAUGUUUUAGAACAGAAUAAAAGAAGACAAAUUAUGGUAGAUAAGUGGCACCCAGAAGAUUGCAAAAUAAAUAAUUUUAUGUGGGGGAAUAUUGAAGAAAAAGCAUAGAAACUUUUUUAUAAUUGCACUUUAAAAUUUUGGAAAAGAAAAAUUGAGAAUGCAAUCAGUAGUCUCAUUUUUGUCAGUAUUCUGUCAGAUAUUAGCUAUUCAAUAAGCAUAUCUUGGAUUACUAUUUUUUUAGUUGUCAGUUUUUCUAGUUUCCCCCUUUAUAGGAAAAAAUAAUACCUAUGUGGUUAAAAACUGAGACCCAUUUAAAAAACAGGACAGGUACAGUUAAGUACUAGAAAUGCCGUUUUUAUCACUUGAAAAAUAGAUUAGAAAUGUUUUUCUUUUCCCAGAAUUGUGUGAGUUUGUUUUGAAGCCUUGAAUACCGGUACAUGGUUAACAGGCAGCUUGUGCCCAAUCCCAAAGCGGGAAGAAAGGCCUGGCUUUGGCUCACUGAUGAUAAAGUCUCCUCCCACUGCCUUUCAGCAGCUCUGCCGAAGAGCUGAUCAAGAUGCUGCAAACCCAGCUUCCCCAGACCGGCCAAGAGGGAAGAAUGAUGAGCGUGUUUUAAAUUACAAAGAGAGAGCAGCGCAGGCAGUUUCUGGUCUGGGUGAUAAAUUGAAAUCCAUAAAUAUAGCAGUGCUAAUUUGAAGUUCCGUAAUUGUUUGUGCCAUGAGAAUGUGUACAUUUGAAAGGAUUUUAUAAAGCAAUUACUAGAAAUGCCUCCCUUGAGAGCUGUAUGACUGGAGGUGUUUUCAGUCUGAGGGGGGCAGCAUAAACCCAAACCUCUUCUAGAUGAAUGGCAGGGUGGCGGGAGGGGUCAUGAAAUCAUGGGGAAGAGGUGAAGGAUUUGAGAGCUACUAACCUGACAUCUAACUGAAUGCCUAAGAAAUUGCAGGGCAAUUUCAGGAAAUAGGAAAAAUAAUUUUGAAAACAUUCAAAGCCUCCAGACUUUCGGUGUGUGACUGAUCUUUUUUCUAAUCUCUUUAAACUUCUUUCCACCUAUUGCCUUAAUAGCAGGUGCUUCCUCUUAGGGUCCCCCCAAAUUAUUUACCUCGAGUUCCCUAAUGAAAUUACUUUGCAUUAAUUUGUCAUAAAGGGAGAAGUGCUAGAAAUACCGAGGCAUUGAUAAUUUCAUGGAGUAGCAAUGAAUGUCAGUCACAGUUUCCUCUCCCCGUUGCCCGGGGCUGUGCCUUCAAAGCAGGUGACAGACUGCAAGGUGUAAACAAGCUUUAUAAUGCCAUAUAAAUCAAACCGGGCUCAUUUUACCUAACAACAGAACCAUGUUUGUUUGCUUUUUUGUAAAAUGGACUACUUCAGUGAAAAAUUGAUUCCACGUAGUUCUAAUAACUCUGUGACCUUGGACAUUGGCUUUUUAUAGACACAGCUCUUCCCACCUGCUGGUAUGGACACCAGUUUGUACAGACUGUUGUCACACACCCUGGCUCAAAGUCAAAAGAGAAUUUUAAUUACUCAUCAAGCUGCCAAAUUCUACUAAUUGCCCCCUUGUCAGCAUAUUUCAUUAAUUGCUGAAAGGUAAAUGAGUUACAUAUUUUGUUUGGACCACGUCACCUGUACAUUUUCAAAGCCUCGGAUUGUUUAUCUUGCAAAGAGAGAAGGGGCCUCUUCUCCACAGAUGCAGCUCAAAUUAGCAAAACUGAACUGUAGAGUUUCAGGCCUUUCCCUUCCUUAAAAUGCUGAUAGAUUUCUAGACCAGACUUUGAUAUUUAUUGGCUUCUUGGUCUUGCUGUUUAAACACACCCAUUGCCCUUUCUUUCUUAGGCCCUAUAAGCAAAGCUGGAGUAGCGUCUUGGGAAAAGGCCAACUGACCACCCUAAUUUUGUCGUUCCAAGUCUGCAGAGCGCACAUAUUAAGUAGUUGUUACUGACAUCUUUAGGCUCCGUGAGUGAAAUGCAGCAAGCCUGCCCCCAGCAGCCUGUGGGCUAAUCCUGAGCUGUUCCUUCGUUUAGGUACACAGGUGACCCUGAAGUUCCCACUCGGCCCUCUGUUUUCUGAGUCCUGUCUCCUCUGUAGCACAGUGGGGAUUGUUCUGAACCGUGGCACGCCUUCUUGGCGAGGCAGGCUCUCUUAUGGAACCAUAGUCUGUUACCUCAUUUCUUCCAACUGCUCUGUCCCCUAAAUGUGUGUUCCCAGGUGCAGUGCAGCAAGGGUGCUCGCUGUUGGCCUUUGAGAGUGGAGGUGGCUGUAUCGGAGUGUGCUCCCCCUACUUUUUCCCUUGCCCCGAGUGGCAGUUCUUUUCCUCUCUGUUGCCGGAUGCUGUCUAGGGCCUGUUAGUUGCUAUUUCCUUGCCUCCGCUCCCCUUCCCACUAGCCUUCUAACUACCUUUUAUUCUCGGCUCCAACUCUUUCAAUGAUGAGGUGAAUGCUUUUUCUGUUCCACGUCACUGCAAAGUCAAGGUGUCCAGCAUGCUCUCACUUAUAACUGCCUCACCCGAUCUCACGCACAGUGCGAGAGCUGAAGGUAAGCCCCGGAUGUUGCCAGAUUACGGUGGACAAAUAAAAAACAACUCUCCAACAGCAACUCACAAAUGCAUGAAAUGUUUUAACCUCUAGACAGACUGCCAGAAUUUCUCUCUUCUAAUUCCUACUUGUAGUGAUAACAUUUUUCUUUUUGUGAUUUUUUUUUUUUUAAAUAAUAGUGUAGUACCUUGAAACAACUGCAGUUCUAACUCAUUGUCACCAUUUCUGUUUGACACGUUCCACUUCCUUUGCAAUUAUUGUAUUUAGUUGUGCACUAGUGUCAAUAAAAUUGACAUUUGUGAAGCAA
rnacentral:lncRNA from 1 species